rnacentral:lncRNA from 1 species
UAGAUGGCCUGAAGUAACUGAAGAAUCACAAAAGAAGUGAAAAUGCCCUGCCCCGCCUUAACUGAUGACAUUCCACCACAAAAGAAGUGAAAAUGGCCGGUCCUUGCCUUAAGUGAUGACAUUACCUUGUGAAAGUCCUUUUCCUGGCUCAUCCUGGCUCAAAAACUCCCCCACUGAGCACCCUGUGACCCCCACUCCUGCCCGCCAGAGAACAAACCCCCUUUGACUGUAAUUUUCCUUUACCUACCCAAAUCUUAUAAAACAGCCCCACCCCUAUCUCCCUUCACUGACUCUCUUUUCAGACUCAGCCCGCCUGCACCCAGGUGAUUAAAACCUUUAUUGCUCACACGAAGCCUGUUUGGUGGUCUCUUCACAUGGACGCGCAUGAAAUUCAGGGGUGGUCACAAGGUGCUCAUUGGGGGAGCUUGAGAGCCAGGAUGAGCCAGGAGAAAGAAUUUUCACAAGGUAAUGUCAUGAGUUAAGGCAGGAACCGG